rnacentral:rRNA from 1 species
GCCCGCUCAAGAAACUUAAAUAGAAUUGACGGGGCCCGCACAAGCGGUGGAGUAUGUGGUUUAAUUCGAUGCAACGCGAAGAACCUUACCUGGUCUUGACAUCCCGGAGACCCUUAGGAAACUAGGGGUGCUUCCAUCUGGAAGAAUCUGGAGACAGGUGCUGCAUGGCUGUCGUCAGCUCGUGUCGUGAGAUGUUGGGUUAAGUCCCGCAACGAGCGCAACCCUUGCCUUUAGUUGCCAGCAGUUCGGCUGGGCACUCUAAAGGGACUGCCGGUGUUAAACCGGAGGAAGGUGGGGAUGACGUCAAGUCCUCAUGGCCUUUAUGACCAGGGCUACACACGUACUACAAUGGCCGAUACAAAGGGCAGCGACACUGCGAGGUGAAGCCAAUCCCGUAAAAUCGGUCUCAGUCCGGAUUGGAGUCUGCAACUCGACUCCAUGAAGUUGGAAUCGCUAGUAAUCGUGGAUCAGCAUGCCACGGUGAAUACGUUCCCGGGCCUU